CUUGGCUCAAAGCAAGAAGAAAGGGCCUGGGGAACUAAUCAAAUUGUUAUUUCAACAGCAGAUGGCGUCAGAAACCCAGGCCUUGGGAGAGAGUCCGCAUCCUAUGGAUUGGCAGCCCAUAUACAUACCCUAGUUCUCUGCAGUUUCAGCAUUUUGUCAACACUGGUGGAUAUCCACUUAGCCAUGGAAUUUGCUAUCCUGCCCUGUUGCUACCCAGCUUGGAAAAGACCCCUUGACAGAAAAGACAAGAAGGUCAGCCAGGGAGAGAAGAGGCAAGGACUGUCCCUGGGAGAUGGCCCGUUGCAGAGUCACGGAAGGCUGGCGGGUUGCCGUGCUGUGCUGAGAAUGACUGCAACAAAGGAAGAAAAACAAACACAGAUCAUUUAUUCAAAAUGUCUUUGCACAUUCUCAUCAGUCUUAUUGUCUAGUAA